UUCAGAUUCACACCUGGUUGUUGGAGCUUCAAACCCUCUAAAAUGUCUCGCCGUCUCCUCCCAGAUCUUUCCGGUGUAGAUGCCGAGCAGUUCUUCAAAAUACUGGCCAACAGUCAGAGUCGGCGGAUGGAUGACCAGCGCGUGCCGCUCAGCAUGCUGCCGGGGACGCAGAUCUUUUCCAGCAAAGGAAGCGCAUUAAUGAACCAGUGGGAAUCAGACCAGCUGUGCAAGUUCAUCCUCAGAGCACAGCGCUUUAGGAUGGAGGACCAGAGAUGCACUCUUCCACAGAUCAUCCUGACUCCAGAGACCCCCGUCAACCAGAGAAAGAGUUACUCCAGACCCCAUUCCCCAACUCACGACCCGGACUUCACCAAGCCCCCGCCUAGAUCUGCCUCUUUCAGCCCCACCUCGGAAAACGAGAAGACGGAGCACAAUAAUAACGUCCAGCCCCCGACUCUUUCUCCAGAGGAGCAGGAUCGGCUGCUGACUCUGGUCUGUCAGGCACUGCGGGGAAGAAUGGAGGACCAGCGCUGUUAUCUGGACCCCAGCAUGAGGAGGACACAGCCUCCACAGGGGAUUGAGAACAUGAUCCCUAAUGGAAUAGAUCCUGAGCAGUUUUUUAAACUGGUGGCCAAAAUCCAGAGUAACAGGCUGGAUGACCAGCGGGUAGCGCUCAACUUUUUACCAGGGAUACAAACACCCAGCGGCGAAGUGCAGAAACCUGUAGAGGAAACUGAAAGGUUAUACAACCUGAUCUCCAAGGUGCAGUCUCACAGGAUGGAAGAACAGCGUUGCUAUGCACCCAAUAUACAACUGGGGACUCCAGCACCAAGCCGGAAGAACUGGGAUGGAAAUAGCAGCCCUAUGCAGAACCUGCCUGGACCAGGAACAUCCAGCAAGACAUCCAGGAGAUCAUCAGCACCAGUCUGCCCUCCUUCAGUGACAAAUCAGCACCAGAAUCACAGCAGCCACACUGCUCACACAGCAAAGAUACCAGUCAGUGCCGACCAAGAGCAGUACUUGUCCAUGGCCCAUAAAAUGCAGAAAUGGAUAUACAACCACGGACAUUCCAUCGAUCCCACUGCACUAAACACAGAACAGUUCUUCACCCUUGUGGCCAACUCUCAGAGCAAACGAAUGGAUGACCAGAGAACUACAAUGCCAGAAGUCAGGACGGAGAAACCAUUCGUUCCACAGAUCAUCCUGACCCCGGAGUCGCCUGCACCCAGGAGAGCUUCCUCCAGACCCACGUCCCUCACACAGGAUCCAGACCUGCUCACCAAGCCUCCACCAAGAUCUGCCACUUUCAGCCCCGUCUCAGAGAAAGAGAGGACUCAGUAUGAUAAUGUUUCCACCAAGCUUACCUUCAAAGUGUCCGUAUGCCUCACUGCUCCCAAACAGCAGAGUAACUCAGACGGUCAGCAGAGUUCUUCCCCAGACGUGUUCCUGACGAUUGGAACACCAGCAGGGAAAAAUUUUCUCCUUCCACUCACUCCUAUGGUUUGCGGACCUCCAUCUCUUGAGACGACACCCCGGCCCAGGAGACACCGCUCCAGGUCUUCCUCACCCUACCGAGCUCAUGGACGAACGUCCCACCCCAGACCCUCCUCUCCUAGGCCUGCACCUCAUCCUCCACCCAUUGGAACUGAUGAAGAUUACUUCUCCCUCAUUCACAGAGUCCACACAGCUCAGCUUCAGCAGGGAAACGCCGCAGAGAAGAGCCGGGAGCCAGGGAAGGGAAGAGAACGAGGGGAUGGGAGGAGAGAGAGAAAGGAUAGAGUGAAAAGAAAAUAAGCAUUAUGAAUGUACACUGAGCUCAGCUGCCAAUUUAUCAGAAACACAUACUUUACUAAAUUAAACCAAGGUUUAAAACUGUGUGAAAUAAAUGAUUAUGAAGG
rnacentral:lncRNA from 1 species